rnacentral:rRNA from 1 species
CCUACGGGUAGCAGCAGUGGGGGAUAUUGGACAAUGGGGGAAACCCUGAUCCAGCGACGCCGCGUGAGUGAAGAAGUAUUUCGGUAUGUAAAGCUCUAUCAGCAGGGAAGAAAGAAAUGACGGUACCUGAGUAAGAAGCCCCGGCUAACUACGUGCCAGCAGCCGCGGUAAUACGUAGGGGGCAAGCGUUAUACGGAAUUACUGGGUGUAAAGGGAGCGUAGACGGUACUGCAAGUCUGGAGUGAAAGGCGGGGGCCCAACCCCCGGACUGCUCGGGAAACGGUGUAACUGGAGUGCCGUGGAGGCAGGCGGAAGUCCGAGUGUAGCGGUGAAAUGCGUAGAUAUUAGGAGGAACACCGGUGGCGAAGGCGGCCGGCUGGACUGUAACUGACGUUGAGGCUCGAAAGCGUGGGGAGCAAACAGGAUUAGAUACCCCAGUAGUC